UAUUAACGGUAGACAAUUGGAUUCAACGUAGACUAUCGAAACGUUGCGAAAUUUGCUAGCUUGCUUCGUUUAUAUCCAGUUUUUUUUUUCUCUGUCUCUCUCUUCCGCUAGUUAGCACGAAUCAGCAAACGUUAGCUAACAAAUCUCUUCGAAACCUGCGUCAAACAACUUGUUAGCGUAACUAGGGAUUUUGUUGUGAAGGAAGGACUUUACAAUGGGAUCCAGAGCAUCGACAUUACUGAGAGAAGAGGAGAUUGAAGAAAUCAAAAAGGAGACAGGCUUUUCCCACAGCCAGAUCACCCGGCUCUACAGUCGCUUCACCAGCUUGGACAAAGGAGAGAACGGCACACUCAGUCGGGAAGAUUUCCAACGGAUCCCGGAGUUGGCCAUCAAUCCUCUGGGAGACAGAAUCAUCAAUGCCUUCUUUCCCGAGGGUGAG